rnacentral:rRNA from 1 species
UUGGCCUCGGGUCGGACAAGGUUACCCGCUGAACUUAAGCAUAUCAAUAAGCGGAGGAAAAGAAACCAACAGGGAUUGCCUCAGUAACGGCGAGUGAAGCGGCAACAGCCCAGAUUUGAAAUCUGGCUCCUCUCGCGGGGGGUCCGACUUGUAAUCUGCAGAUGAGUCUUCCGGCGGAGCGGGCGCCCAAGUUCCCUGGAAUGGGACGCCGUAGAGGGUGAGAGCCCCGUACUGGCGCACGCCGAGCCUCUGUGAAUCUCAUUCGACGAGUCGAGUAGUUUGGAAAUGCUGCUCUAAUCGUGGGGUAAAUCUCCCAUAAGGCUAAAUACCGGCCAGAGACCGAUAGCGCACAAGUAGCGUGAGCGAAAGAUGAAAAGAGCCUUGAACAAGGGCGUCAAAAAGUAUGUGAAAUUGUUGUGGGGGAAGCGCUUGUCGCCAGACGUGGCGGCGGCGGGUUACCCGGCUUCGGCCGGCGCACUCCGCCCGCCGCCAGGCCAGCAACGACUCGGACCGGGGCCCAGUGCCGGCGGGAACGUAGCUCCCCUCGGGGAGUGUUACAGCCCGCCGGUGGCGUCCUGGCCUGGGUCGAGGUUCGCGCAUCUGCCCGGAUGCUGGCUUAAUGGCGCCAAACGACCCGUCUUGAAACACGGACCAAGGAGUUGACCUAGCGCGCGAGUGUACGGGUGUCAAGCCCUAACGCGCAGUGAAAGCAAACGCUGGUGGGAGCCUCGGCGCACCAUCGACCGAUCCUGAAGUUCACGGAUGGAUUUGAGUAGGAGCGUGCUGGGUCUGACCCGAAAGAAGGUGAACUAUGCAUGAAUAGGGUGAAGCCAGAGGAAACUCUGGUGGAGGCUCGCAGCGGUUCUGACGUGCAAAUCGAUCGUCAAAUUUGUGCAUGGGGGCGAAAGACCAAUCGAACCUUCUAGUAGCUGGUUCCUGCCGAAGUUUCCCUCAGGAUAGCAGAGUUGGUGCCUCAGUUUCAUGAGGUAAAGCGAAUGAUUAGAGACCCGGGGGCGCUAUUUAGCCUUCAUCUAUUCUCAAACUUUAAAUAUGUGAGAAGCCUUGUGUUACUUUGUUGAACGCAGGCGACCGAAUGAAUCAACUCUAGUGGGCCAUUUUUGGUAAGCAGAACUGGCGAUGUGGGAUGAACCAUACGGGGGCUUAAGGCGCCGGAGUGGACGCUCAUGAGACACCACAAAAGGUGUUGGCACAUCUAGACAGCAGGACGGUGGCCAUGGAAGUCGGAAUCCGCUAAGGACUGUGUAACAACUCACCUGCCGAAUGUGCUAGCCCUGAAAAUGGAUGGCGCUAAGCGUCCCGCCUAUAGCCCCCCCUCGGGGUAGGAUCGUCGCCCCGAGGAGUAGGCAGGCGCGGGGGUCCGUGACGAAGCCCAGGGCGUGAGCCCGGGUCGAACGGCCCCCGGUGCGGAUCUUGGUGGUAGUAGCAAAUACUUCAAUGAGAACUUGAAGGGCCAAAGUGGAGAAAGGUUCCAUGCGAACAGCGGUUGAACGUGGGUCAGUCGGUCCUGAGCCAUAGGGAAUUUCCGUUUUAAAGGGACGCUUGCGUCCCCCUUGGCGAAAGGGAAGCUGGUUAAAAUCCCAGCACAAGGAUGUGGGUUUCGAGCGGCAACGCAACCAAUCGUGGAGACAACGGCGGGGGCCCAGGGAGGAGUUAUCUUUUCUUCUUAACGGUCCGGCGACCCUGGAAUCGGUUUGUCCGGAGAUAGGGUUCAGCGGCCGGAAGAGCCCGGCAUCUACUGCCGGGUCCUGUGCGCUCUCGACGUUCCUUGAAAAUCCGCGGGCGGAAAUAAUCCUCACGCCUUGCCGUACUCAUCACCGCAGCAGG